rnacentral:lncRNA from 1 species
GUAGAUCCUGCCAAUAUAAGGCUAGUUCAAGAAGGUACUGUUGAUGCUUUGUUAGAAGCUGAGCGAGUUGCUGAAGCUACCAAGCAAGCUAUCAAACGUAAAAUUUCUCAAGCAGCAUCUGUUGAUUUCCAGUCUCGAAGUCUACCUGCUAAGCUUCGAAUAGAGCCUGAUGACCCUGAGGAUGUGGUGAGAUGUUGCAGCAAAUUUUCAUUCUUUGUUUUUUUACCUUUGGAAUUCAUUGACUUGAGUAGUUAUUUUUUUAUAUUCAUGAAGUGCUCAGAGUUUGUUUGAAAGAACUUAUUUGGGCUUGUCUUAUAGCAUAAGACUUGAGCAAGUGUUUGUUUUGAGCUUCUCAGAUAAGUUUUUGAAUAAGCGCUUAUACUUACCUAUAAGAUCUUUUUCUGUCAAUUAUCAUAAAAGAUUAAGAAUAAGGGGUUGUGUUAUAAAUACUUGAUGACAUAAUUGUUUAAGUAAGCAAUUUACCUUUACCCAAAGUCCCAAAAGCACCCGCAAUGAUAAUCCUUGUCAUGUGAUGUAUUAUGUUGUAUCUGCGUAAAAAUUUCCCUCUAAAUUCUUCUUUACUGCAUGAUUUUGAGGUAACUUGCGUGGUACUGUAGUUGGAUAGAUAGGAGGAGGGAUUAAGUUCUAAUGGAAGUCCUAUGUCUUGUUUGGUGGAUCUAAAUUUAAGAUUGGCACAGUGCUCAUCUAUACUAUUUGUUAUAUACCAUUUAACUCGAAGGAGUCCUCUGUUGCUACUUGCUAUUUUACCAUAAAACAACUUUGCUGUAUUAUCUGCUUGCUAAUCUUGGAAACGUAGAAAAGGUAUUUUGAGGGAAGAAUUGUGAAUUUUUUGCUAUGUUUGAUCACCAACCACCCCUUAAUCUGCUGUUGAAAUAAUGCAUUGGUUAUAUAUUAUUUAUCAUUUAUACAGAGCGAAGUCGCCACUUGUUAUUGUACCAUAAUACAAUUAAUUAAGUUUUAUCUCACACAAGCAUAUGAAGAAAGGGAUUUUGAGCAAGAAAUUUUUGUUGAAAUAACAUAAUUCGAAUAAUGUGUCAUUGCAUCUUCUAUCUUUUCUGUACAUGAUUAAUAAUCACUAAAUUAUGUUACUUUUAAUCGUAUGCUAUCAUGUUUAUUCAAGUAUUUUCUGGUGCUUUGUUUUUUAGAAAGGACAUAGCGGAAUCAAUUUAUCUCAGGUUACAUGCAAGUAAAGAACUUUCAAUUGUAUACUGUGUGCCAUCAUGUGUGGAUGAAAAUUCUCUGUAGUUCAUUGUGUAAUUGGAAAAUGGAAUAGUAGAGUAUUUUGUACUGGAGAUGAUUAAUUUCACUGUGCUGCUCAUAUAUUGUAUUGAGAAAACAUUGUCCAUAAAUUAAUAGGCUAGUAGUCAUAACAUAAAAUCUUAAGCCUAACUUUUGGUUGUUGAUUAAGAGACCAAUAAUUUUUUUUUUAUAUCUCUCGGUAAUUCUCAUGUACUGAUGGUGGUUGCUUAUUACAGGUAGAUCCUGCCAAUAUAAGGCUAGUUCAAGAAGGUACUGUUGAUGCUUUGUUAGAAGCUGAGCGAGUUGCUGAAGCUACCAAGCAAGCUAUCAAACGUAAAAUUUCUCAAGCAGCAUCUGUUGAUUUCCAGUCUCGAAGUCUACCUGCUAAGCUUCGAAUAGAGCCUGAUGACCCUGAGGAUGUGGUGAGAUGUUGCAGCAAAUUUUCAUUCUUUGUUUUUUUACCUUUGGAAUUCAUUGACUUGAGUAGUUAUUUUUUUAUAUUCAUGAAGUGCUUGAAUUUGCUAUCUAUAUAUCCUUGGGGUAGUCUCAUUCUGUGGGUUACUUAAUGAUCUGUAUUUCUGUAACCGAUGAUGAUUGUCAGUUUCAUCCUAAAUUGAUUCUGUUUUCUGAAGUUUUUCUGCCAGAUAAUUAGGAUGCCAUUGAUGACAAGUUUGCUCACUC